rnacentral:lncRNA from 1 species
UAAUAAAUAUGGUAUAUAUUACUUUAUCUACAUAAAAUCCAUAUAUAAAUAUAUUACAAUCAAUAAGGAAUUAAAAUUUUACUGAUAGUCUGUAUAAAAGUAUAAGAAAAGCAAACUAAAAUAUGUACAUUGCCCUGUAUUAUUUCUUUUUAAUUUGUUUAAUAAGCAUCACUAACAAUCAUACUGAUUAACAAAUGACCAAAAUCUGUGUACAAAAAAUUGUACAUGAACACCUUUCAUUGGGUAAAGAUAUCACAAAUCUAUUUUCCUUUUGGAUGGAGAAAGGGAUUAUCAUUAUCUUACAUAUACUAAGGUUCAAAAUCUUAAAAGGCUUCCUUUAGUCAUGAAAUUUAUGGAUAAAUUAUUUCACAAAAAAUAAUAUCAAUUUCAUUGUUUUGUUCAUCUUUAAAACAUAUUGAACACUUUUCAAGGUCAAGCAGACUUUUAAUAGUUUAUAAUGCACUAGCAUACCUAUAACUCAUAUCACAAUAUUGAAGUUUGUAAAUUCAAUUAUCUCCCCUUAUCUCCCCUCCCCUUUGUUAUAUAAGACCAGGAUUAAAUUCCUGAAUGCACAUCCUUGGGUAGUGUUCUACAACAUUGUUAAGUUUCAUCAAUAUCUGUAAAGUUAUUUAGGUGUUGGGCCUAUAAGAGACUGUUACCACAAAUUGCAAUAUUGAAUUAUGUAAUUAUGUAAUGUGUUGGACCAUUGGUAGUGUAAAUUUCUAUCAAUUUCUAGUUCCCAGAGGUGGAUUUAGGGGGGGUGUUCCCAGGGGGCCAUGCCCCCCCUUUUUGGGAAAAAAAUUGGUUGCUUAUAUAGGGAAUCACUAAAGCAUGACUGGAGUGGGUCCCCUCUUAGGCAGUCAGUGGGCCCCCACUUAUGAAAAUUUCUGGAUCUGCCACUGGUUCCUCUUUCAGGAGAAAUCACAUUUUAUGUCUUAUGGACUGAACAAGAGACAAGAUGGACAGGGUGAAUCCUUUUUACUCCCCAAAAAUUUGGUUUGUAAGAUGUAUAUAAUAAAAAAAAUAUUGGAGCUAAUUGUGAAGUUAAGAAAUAAAUUUAAAAUGUUAUUCAACCAACAGAUGUUAUUUGUUUCCUCAAAGGCCAUAUCACUUUCUAAUUAUUUAUAAGUAACAAAGUAGAAUUCUAAUUCAAUUCACAGCACACUAUAUAAAUGAUUAAUAUUCAAAUCAAUGUAAAGACAAAGAUUUAACAAUGUAAAUGACAAAGAUUUAACAAUUA